UACAGGAUACAUAAUAAAUAAGACAUAAUACAUAAUAAUAGAUAAAACCAAAACAUAAUAAAUAAUCAUCAUAAACAAGUUCAAAUUCAAACAAGGCGCGCACGCGCGCCCAAAUAACUAGAGGGGCACACUAACCCCGAAACCCGGCCACACUAAGUCGGGCAAUUCGGAUAUACGGACAUACGGGCACACUAAGCCAAGGGCUAUAUAAAGCGGGCGGCUGGCCUCAGAAUGAUCAGUCGGUGGUCGGAGUCGACCGAGGUGGAAGUCACCAGCGAGUGGGAAAGCAGCAAGAUCAGGACCGGGAUCAACAAGUGGAUACAUAAUAAAUAAGACAUAAUACAUAAUAAUAGAUAAAACCAAAACAUAAUAAAUAAUCAUCAUAAACAAGUUCAAAUUCAAACAAGGCGCGCACGCGCGCCCAAAUAACUAGAGGGGCACACUAACCCCGAAACCCGGCCACACUAAGUCGGGCAAUUCGGACAUACGGACAUACGGGCACACUAAGCCAAGGGCUAUAUAAAGCGGGCGGCUGGCCUCAGAAUGAUCAGUCGGUGGUCGGAGUCGACCGAGGUGGAAGUCACCAGCGAGCGGGAAAGCAGCAAGAUCAGGACCGGGAUCAACAAGUGGAUACAUAAUAAAUAAGACAUAAUAAAUAAUCAUCAUAAACAAGUUCAAAUUCAAACAAGGCGCGCACGCGCGCCCAAAUAACUAGAGGGGCACACUAACCCCGAAACCCGGCCACACUAAGUCGGGCAAUUCGGAUAUACGGACAUACGGGCACACUAAGCCAAGGGCUAUAUAAAGCGGGCGGCUGGCCUCAGAAUGAUCAGUCGGUGGUCGGAGUCGACCGAGGUGGAAGUCACCAGCGAGCGGGAAAGCAGCAAGAUCAGGACCGGGAUCAACAAGUGGUAACUAUUGGAGAGAAUUAUAUACAUCUGACAUGUAUUGUGCAGAAUGGUUUACUUUACGUUGUGACGCGGCCGCGCACAAUAAUAAAUAAUUCAUAAUAAAUAAUACCUAAUACAGGAUACAUAAUAAAUAAGACAUAAUACAUAAUAAUAGAUAAAACCAAAACAUAAUAAAUAAUCAUCAUAAACAAGUUCAAAUUCAAACAAGGCGCGCACGCGCGCCCAAAUAACUAGAGGGGCACACUAACCCCGAAACCCGGCCACACUAAGUCGGGCAAUUCGGACAUACGGACAUACGGGCACACUAAGCCAAGGGCUAUAUAAAGCGGGCGGCUGGCCUCAGAAUGAUCAGUCGGUGGUCGGAGUCGACCGAGGUGGAAGUCACCAGCGAACGGGAAAGCAGCAAGAUCAGGACCGGGAUCAACAAGUGGUAACUAUUGGAGAGAAUUAUAUCCAUCUGACAUGUAUUGUGCAGAAUGGUUUACUUUACGUUGUGACGCGGCCGCGCACAAUAAUAAAUAAUUCAUAAUAAAUAAUACCUAAUACAGGAUACAUAAUAAAAAAGACAUAAUACAUAAUAAUAGAUAAAACCAAAACAUAAUAAAUAAUCAUCAUAAACAAGUUCAAAUUCAAACAAGGCGCGCACGCGCGCCCAAAUAACUAGAGGGGCACACUAACCCCGAAACCCGGCCACACUAAGUCGGGCAAUUCGGACAUACGGAUAUACGGGCACACUAAGCCAAGGGCUAUAUAAAGCGGGCGGCUGGCCUCAGAAUGAUCAGUCGGUGGUCGGAGUCGACCGAGGUGGAAGUCACCAGCGAGCGGGAAAGCAGCAAGAUCAGGACCGGGAUCAACAAGUGGUAACUAUUGGAGAGUAAACUCAACCCCUACGUAUAUACCCCGCCCUAGCUGACUUCAGGGUCCUGCUUACGUAUCUACGCUGACUUCAGGGUCCUGCUUACGUCUAUACGUUGACUUUAGGGUCCUACUUACGUAUCUACGCUGACUUCAGGGUCCUGCUUACGUCUAUACGUUGACUUCAGGGUCCAACUUACGUAUCUACGCUGACUUCAGGGUCCUGCUUAUGUCUAUACGUUGACUUCAGGGUCCAACUUACGUAUCUACGCUGACUUCAGGGUCCUGCUUACGUCUAUACGUUGACUUCAGGGUCCAACUUACGUAUCUACGCUGACUUCAGGGUCCUGCUUACGUCUAUACUUUGACUUCAGAGUCCUACUUACGUAUCUACGCUGACUUCAGGGUCCUGCUUACGUCUAUACGUUGACUUCAGGGUCCAACUUACGUAUCUACGCUGACUUCAGGGUCCUGCUUAUGUCUAUACGUUGACUUCAGGGUCCAACUUACGUAUCUACGCUGACUUCAGGGUCCUGCUUACGUCUAUACGUUGACUUUAGGGUCCUACUUACGUAUCUACGCUGACUUCAGGGUCCUGCUUACGUCUAUACGUUGACUUCAGGGUCCAACUUACGUAUCUACGCUGACUUCAGGGUCCUGCUUACGUCUAUACGUUGACUUUAGGGUCCUACUUACGUAUCUACGCUGACUUCAGGGUCCUGCUUACGUCUAUACGUUGACUUCAGGGUCCAACUUACGUAUCUACGCUGACUUCAGGGUCCUGCUUACGUCUAUACGUUGACUUCAGGGUCCUGUAUAAGGUACGAAGAGCCCCGCUGUGGAAGCCGGAAACUAGGCCGAGGGAGCCCCAUACAGUUCUAUGUAAUUAUUGUAACCGAAAAAAGGAAUGAAUAAACUCUGCGUCUAUAUUUAAGUCUAGUUAAGGUUAA